CGGGACUGACGGGGCUCGAACCC
rnacentral:tRNA from 20 species